GUACGUUUGUAAUGGUUUGUUCUGCAAGAAUACUCCGCCCUGAAUGCGGAUUGUUGGAUUGUAUGGAGCGUGAUUGCAUGGAUACAUACAGGUUGCCAGAUCGUUACUGUCCUAUUUGCAGACCAAAUACCCCCAAAACGUGCAAAGUCGACGGGGUCACAUACAAAGAAGGCGAAAGGUUGCCGUCACACAGAUGUCGUAUCUGUAGAUGUGAAAAUGGUUCCGUGGUUUGUUUGGACCUACCUUGCAUGCCGUCUCCCGAUGAGCUGCCAUUACCGUAACAACGUUAAAAUAUCCAUUCGAUCUGUCGCUUUAGCAUUGCCCUCCAAGGAAGCACUAAACAGGUGGUGUCAUGGACGUCAGGACGUCAAGGACGAAACGUGUCCAUUGUUAAAAAAUAAACGGAUAAAAAAUUCGUUUAUAUAGGAUGUUUUUUAAUUUCCAUUAUCAAGAAAUGACGAGUUUUUGCAAGGAGGAUUUUUUUUAUAUAUUCAUUAUAAUUAGGAAUGUUGUGCGGUUUGAAUUACGUCAAAUGAUUGUUUUAAUAUUAUUAUGCUUUUUGGUGUACAAAAACUACUCGAACGUUUCCAUCAGGCGACACUGUUUACAAUGCAAUGAAUACAAUGUUAGUGCUGAAUACAGAUACGUUUGAAGAAGGCGUAGAAAACCUUUGCAACCAUCUUUGAAAACAGUUUCAGAGUUCGUGAAAAGCAAAUAACAAUUUUAUUUUGUUAUUAUAUUAUACCAUUAUUAUUGCAUUUUGAGUUUUUUUAGUUAUACAUUAUACACAAAUGAAAAUGUUGUAGCAUUAGCAUGUGGUAAACGAAAACAAAUACAUCACUAUACUGUGCGU